UGACCAGCCAUCUCCCUCUCCUACUCUCCUUCUCAGCUUCCUCAUUGCUUCCCAUCUCUUUCCUCCUCCUAUACAGCGCGAGAUAGACGACAAUUAAGAAAUCGAAGCCCAAAUCUGUCUUCCUCUUUCUCUUUCUCCGCCACCCCCUACUGCAAAAUCCUAGCUUUCGCUUCCACCGCCCCUAUCAAUAAAGUUUCAUUGAUGAAAGGGCUAAUACAGAAGCCCACCGAACUGGUUGAAGAUCUCUACUCCCGAUGUGGAGGUUGCAAGUUUGUGAAGAAGGGUAUGACCCUGUCUUAGAUCGGUGUGAUUCUUCGUGAUUCUUAUGGAAUUGCUCAGGCUUGAGCAUGACCCCGUCUCUAUACUGAUUUCCUCUCCUUCUUAUUGGUACCAUUACCCAGAAGAAUAGCACUGUCACACCUCCUUUCUGUCUCCUCCGAACCAAGGCAAUGAUUUCAUUUCUUUCUUAAUAGCUCAGAUGCAAGGAUCAAGCUAACCAUCUAUAAAACUUGAAAGGCUGAAAGGUUGGUGGGGAUUUGGGUGGAGUUUGCUUAGCCUACGUUACCAAGUUUUGAUUGGGAUUCUGGAAGCACACAGUGUCUUGGGUUGUUACGUCAACGUGGAUGGGAGUUACAGAUUCAAGCCAGCCAAAACUGUUGAUAUUGGCACCUGUGAUCAAUCGGUUCCAAAGGCAUAUCCAGAUAAGGGUAUUGUUAUUUGACUUGAUUCCCUCUGUAAUUAAUUAAACUGUAGAUUAAUGAUGGCGCCCACAUUUUCUACGGUUCCUAACUUAAUUUUUUGUUGUUGCCUUUGGUUGAUGGGCAAUGUGCUAUAUUCUUUGGCCUGCCAAAUGAGGAGACAAAUGGCUACUCGGCACAAUAUUCGUCAACUGGUUUUACUGAUAUGGGGAACACAGCUGAUGAAGGGAUGGAGUGAGUGAGUCAUAGUUCAACCAAGCCUUGAAUGUAGAAUUGGAUCAGAUUAUUGAGCUUUUAACAAAAUCUUUCCAGGCUGGUGGUUCUCCUGACAAUGUUCCACUUGGAGGGUUUGAAGCCAAUAGAUGUUGCAGCUGCAAGUAGGAACUGAAGUGUUGUGGAGAUCCUCUUACCUUGAUCUGUUUUGGUAUUUAGACUCUUUAGGUAUAUAUAGGCAUGGAUAAUGUGCAUUUGACACAUUUAUCGACAAGUUUAUGUUUUUGGCCUUUAAGUAUAUAGGCAAGGUUAAUAUGUGUUAAUAUUGGGAUGAACCUAC